CGAAUACGAGAUGCUACGGCGUCGAAGCAGCCUAUGUCAUACUUCCAAGAAAAGCUUGCACUGUCAUAAACAAAUAAUGCCUGUACCAUAACCGACACAGGUGGGUAGGUAGAGUAUACUAAGGGGCGCGAGAUAACUCUCUCUAAGGAACUCGGCAAAAUGACUCCGUAACUUCGGGAGAAGGAGUGCCUUAUUUAUAAGGUUGCAAUAACAAGAUCCAAGCAACUGUUUACCAAAAACACAGGUCUCCGCUAAGUCGUAAGACGAUGUAUGGGGGCUGACGCCAGCCCAGUGCCAGAAGGUUAAAGAAGUUGGUUAGCAUCCGCGAAGCUGAUAACUGAAGCCCUGGUGAACGGCGGCCGUAACAAUAACGGUCCUAAGGUAGCGAAAUUCCUUGUCGGGUAAGUUCCGACCCGCACGAAAGGCGUAAUGAUUUGGAUACUGUCUCGGAGAGGGGCUCGGUGAAAUAGACUUGUCUGUGAAGAUGCGGACUACCUGCACCAGGACAGAAAGACCCCAUGAAGCUUUACUGUAACCUGAAAUUGAAAUUGGACUUUACUUGCGCAGUAUAGGUGGGAGGCGUUGAGAAUAUUCUUGCGGGAUUAUUGGAGCCAUCAGUGAGAUACCACUCUUGUAAUGUUAGAUUUCUAACUUUGUAUCAUUAUCUGGUCAAAGAACAGUUUCAGGCGGGCAGUUUGACUGGGGCGGUCGCCUCCUAAACGGUAACGGAGGCGCACAAAGGUUUCCUCUGAACGGGUAGAAAUCGUAUCUAGAGUGUAAAGGCAUAAGGAAGCUUGACUGUGAGACCUACAAGUCGAGCAGGGACGAAAGUCGGUCUUAGUGAUCUGACGGUGCUGAGUGGAAAGGCCGUCACUCAACGGAUAAAAGUUACUCUAAGGAUAACAGGCUGAUCUCCCCCAAGAGUUCACAUCGACGGGGAGGUUUGGCACCUCGAUGUCGGCUCAUCGCAUCCUGGGGCGGUAGUACGUCCCAAGGGUUGGGCUGUUCGCCCAUGAAAGCGGUACGCGAGCUGGGUUCAGAACGUCGUGAGACAGUUCGGUCCAUAUCCGGUGUAGGCGUUAGAAUAUUGAGAGGAGCCUUCUUUAGUACGAGAGGACCGAGAAGGACAUACCUCUGGUGUACCAGUUAUCGUGCCAACGGUAAACGCUGGUAGCUAUGUGUGGAGUGGAUAACCGCUGAAAGCAUCUAAGUGGGAAGCCCACCUCAAGAUAAGUAUUCU
rnacentral:rRNA from 1 species